UACGGAGGUUGCAAGCGUUAUCCGGAUUUAUUGGGUUUAAAGGGUGCGUAGGCGGGCCUGUAAGUCAGUGGUGAAAUCCUGCAGCUUAACUGUAGAACUGCCAUUGAUACUGCAGACCUUGAGUGUAGUUGAGGUGGGCGGAAUGUGUAAUGUAGCGGUGAAAUGCUUAGAGAUUACACAGAACACCGAUUGCGUAGGCAGCUCACUAAACUACUACUGACGCUGAGGCACGAAAGCGUGGGGAUCAAACAGG
rnacentral:rRNA from 1 species